UGGGGAAUAUUGGACAAUGGGCGAAAGCCUGAUCCAGCCAUGCCGCGUGUGUGAAGAAGGUCUUCGGAUUGUAAAGCACUUUAAGUUGGGAGGAAGGGCAUUAACCUAAUACGUUAGUGUUUUGACGUUACCGACAGAAUAAGCAGCGGCUAACUCUGUGACAGCAGCCGCGGUAAUACAGAGGGUGCAAGCGUUAAUCGGAAUUACUGGGCGUAAAGCGCGCGUAGGUGGUUUGUUAAGUUGGAUGUGAAAGCCCCGGGCUCAACCUGGGAACUGCAUCCAAAACUGGCAAGCUAGAGUACGGUAGAGGGUGGUGGAAUUUCCUGUGUAGCGGUGAAAUGCGUAGAUAUAGGAAGGAACACCAGUGGCUAAGGCGACCACCUGGACUGAUACUGACACUGAGUUGCGAAAGCGUGGGGAGCAAACA
rnacentral:rRNA from 1 species